rnacentral:tRNA from 1 species
CUGGGUAGCUCAGUUGGUAGAGCAGCGGACUGAAAAUCCGCGUGUCGGCGGUUCGAUCCCGUCCCCA